UACAGAGGGUGCGAGCGUUAAUCGGAAUUACUGGGCGUAAAGCGCACGUAGGCGGAUCGUUAAGUCGGGGGUGAAAUCCUGGAGCUCAACUCCAGAACUGCCUUCGAUACUGGCGAUCUUGAGUCCGGAAGAGGUGAGUGGAACUCCUAGUGUAGAGGUGGAGUUCGUAGAUAUUAGGAAGAACACCAGUGGCGAAGGCGGCUCACUGGUCCGGUACUGACGCUGAGACGCGAAAGCGUGGGGAGCGAACAGG
rnacentral:rRNA from 1 species